UAUCAUAGAGGGAAUCAUACGCCCCGUAAUACGGUGGAUCGAAAGCAAGGAUUUCUUCAACAUGAUGCAACACGUUGUCGCACGAGAGUGCAGUUUUACUGAAGCAAAACUCUGGGUGAUCGUGAUAACAGCCAUUCAAACCAUAUCCAUUUGGAUACAAUUCACCGAUGGGGUAUCGAACACCAUCUACCAAGCACUCAUCCUCAGGCAAAUUUUCCCAAUCGUCACAAAUCCAUCUCGUUGGACAACAGUAUGGAGGUUUUUCGAAAUGGAAUGUACACCUUAAUUCGUAAUAAUAGUACGUUGGUCCAGGACACGAUUUCGGGGGGUCACAUUCUUAAAACAAUGAGGAAAAAAGAAUGAGGAGGAGAUGAAACAAGAAUGGAAUAUUUUUUCUCGCUUUUACACUUUUAUUCGGAUUUUUAUAACCGCAGGAUUGCAUAAUUUUUACAAUUGCCAAUACGAGAUCCGUCAUCGAUCAUUCAAUCAUUCGAUUGGAUCUUACCGGAUUAUUUCUAGUCAUAAAUGUGGUGAUGAGUGGUGGUGAGCAUAAAAUAUGUCAUUUAUAAUGCAUAGUUAUGAUUUGAUGGUUUUUAAAGGGUAUUAAAAAAUUUUUUACCUUUGUAUCCUUCACCACAAUAACAUGACUUGUGUGGUUCUGCGGCAGGCUUGAAAUAUUCGCCAUCUCGAUAAGUUUUUCCAUCGACGAUGCAGAUGGCUCGCUUCGCAUCAUUUUUAGCUAUCAAGUGAAAUUUCAUUAGCUAUCAAUUGUAAAGUUACUGCUUUACAAAUCAAAACGCGCUCUCUGGUUUUUU